UUUUUUUUCUUAGCUAGCGCGUUGUGUUCCGCGCGCAAAACAGACAUAAUUUUCUGCUCCACUCCACUCCCCAUACAGUUUGAACGGAGGGAUUUCUUUCUCCGUCGUGUAUUUUUCCCGCCCAUUUUUCCAAAGCCAAUACUCCUCCCAUUUUCUCUGCUUCCUUCCGCUAGGUUUGGCGGCCGAUCUCAACUCCUCCGCGCUAUUUCGGUUCGAUGUUAUACAUUUCAAAGCGUCUUACGAAUAUUCAUCUAAACUCAAAGAGCUGCACAUGGAUGCUGGUGGAUCAGAAUGCGAAAAAACGAAGCUUUUAAUAAAAAGAGUUUGGAUGUGUUCAAGCGGACGCAUUCGUGGAGAGUAUUGGAGGAGCAGUUUGGGAUGGAGGAAUAUGUAUUCAUUUCAAACCUUGCGUUUGCGUUCUUCACAGGAAAACAAGAUUUGGAUCCCAGCUAGUUGUAUUUCCAGAAGCCUUUAUUGGUGGUUAUCCCCGUGGAUCAAAUUUCGGUGUUUCCAUUGGGAAUACAACUACCAAGGGAGGAAUUCCGCAAAUAUCAUGCAGCAGCGGUCGAUGUACCUGGUCAGUCUUUGUUUCACUUAAUUUUGGUUGCACCUGUAUAAAGAGUGAUAUUAGUGUCUUACCAUGGAUGAUCUCAGGUUAAAUGGACGUUGUUAGGUUCAUAGUAAUAAUACUUAUUCUAGAAGGCCGACUUCAUUCCUCUAUGAGUCUAUACCAAACUUUAUUAUCUGGUCAUAUAUUAAUAUCAAAAUCUUAAAUCUUAAUAUAUAUCUUUUGUUCUUUAUCACCUUCAAUCUUUAAAUAUAUUUUAGCUCAUAUGCAUACUCCAAUAAGAACUGACUGACUAUUCCAUCUGAAAUACGAGUCUGUUUCAUGAGAUGUAAAAUGGGACUAAUGGCUCCUGCAAUUUACAAUUAAUGAAUGACAAACAAUGCUUCAAAAAUCUACAGGCAUUUCUUAGUUUCACUAGUUUCAAAACCUUCCUACUCGUGCUGAUUAGGUGUGUUUUCAAGUUCUUUUUUUCCUGGGGCUGGGUUCAUGGAUUCUGAAGCCUUGUUCUUAAAAAAUAAAUAGAGCCAAUCAAGACAAUCUGAAAAUACUUAACUCACUGUUAUUACCCAUAAUCAUAUAUGUAUGUAAAUGAAAUAAUGCCUUACCCAUGCAAAAUAAUCUCGAAUACUGUAAAUUUUGUAUUUUUUUAAACUAAUUUAUGUUGUUGGUAAUUAAUUUAUUAGGUUGGAAGCUUUAACCACUAUUCUUGUGCAAAUUGUUACAUAUAUUGCUAGGUUCCUGUAUGCCUUAGGAUUAGGAUAUUACAUAUAUUGCUAGGUUCCUGUUUCCCUACUUAUAUGUGCAUCAUAGGUCAUGGAAGCAAAUUAGACGACCAUUGAAAAUAAAAGAGGCACCUCGAUGUGAAAAGGGAAUAAAGUAAUCAGUUCAUGUAUAAAAACUUACAUAAGAAAAGACUAAACGGAGUUGUUUACUUGCGAGGCAUCAAGCUUAUGUUCCCAUGGAACUCUAAUGGAAGUGCUAGAUCUUGGCCUACAACUAUUUACCUCAAUGCAGUCCAUUGACGAUUCAGGUGGUGAAGUUCUUGGUAGAACAGAAUAGCUGUAAUAAUCUUCAUUGUCAAGUUACCAUUGGAACAUUAUCUUACAGUGUAGUGACAAGGUGGGCCUCAGUUGAGUUGGGUACCUUUGUAGCUGGAGUUAUGAUAUCCACCGCUGUCUUCGGUCAACAUACUUUAGAUCAGGUACUCCCUCCAUACUUGGAAUUAGAAGCUUAAAAUGGUUUCAUUCGAAAGAGGACAACCUCAACUUCAUCCCUACUUAAAAAAGAGCAAGGAAUCGAAAGUAAUCAAGGGAGAAGAGCUGGACAAGACUCAUGAAGAAAGGAAAGCACGAAAAUGUGGGGAUCAUGAAACACCAUAAGAGUCAUUCUUGCUUUGUGGCAAGGAGAGUGACGACUUUGGUGAAGACAGAAAGUCGCUGGAAGCAAAGAGCCCAUAAGUUAACUUUCAGUAAGCUUUAAGCAACAAAUUUGCUGAGUCGAGAGGAGAUGAGUUCUCAAUGUCCAAAUCGAGAACAACUUGGAGUUGAGAAUGUGGGUAAAGUUAUUCUCAGGAACUAGAAACAAUUUGCAGCCUUCCAUAAGUUGUUUGGAAGGAUAAGAUAUGAGAGCUCAAACACGCACGAGCAAGUAAGCAUACGGAGAAAGUAUCGAGUAGUACUUGUAGGAGUUGAUCAGGACAAGGGGCAGAUGAUUACAAAUCAUAUCUAAGAACUUAAUUGACUUAGUAUCAUGGUAGUUAAACUUAGAAACGUGUACAGUUUACGGUUUAGCACAAUUUAAACUUUAUAGCUUCCGUUAUGUAUGCUUGAGAACUUUGAUAGUUUGAACA